rnacentral:rRNA from 1 species
UACGUAGGGUGCAAGCGUUAAUCGGAAUUACUGGGCGUAAAGCGUGCGCAGGCGGUGAUGUAAGACAGAUGUGAAAUCCCCGGGCUCAACCUGGGAACUGCAUUUGUGACUGCAUCGCUGGAGUGCGGCAGAGGGGGAUGGAAUUCCGCGCGUAGCAGUGAAAUGCGUAGAUAUGCGGAGGAACACCGAUGGCGAAGGCAAUCCCCUGGACCUGUACUGACGCUCAUGCACGAAAGCGUGGGGAGCAAACAGG